GUGCCGCCCCCGCCCCCACCUUCUCCCUCACUCCAUAGCCCGCGCCCGCGUUCUUCCUCCCCCAUCUCGUCUCAUCUCCGGUCGCUGCAGAGCAGCCCCGUUUCGCACCGCCACCAUGGUUGGCCUGCAGCGAGCAGCAGAGGACCUAGCCGCCGCGUCCGACCUCAACCGCCGCCCGAAACCCUAGCCCCUCCUUCCAACGGCAGGUCAAGCCAGCAGGAUCCCCUCCAAGAACAGCAUUUGAUGCGCCCGACUCAUCUCUGCUUGUGCACAACAAGGAAGGCCAUGGAGACGCUGCUCCCUAUGUUCAGCGCGUGGACGGACGAUGCAGCGUUGGGGAUGACUCAUGGCUGCCUCCGUUUGUGCGGGUGACUCAUGGCCACCCCCUCUCUCAACCCCCAGAUCCGACUCCCUCCUCCACUUCUUCUGGUUUGGUUAUCUCCGCAUCUGCUCUGAUUCGGGCGUGUGUGCAGUUUGCUACGAUCUAGCGAUGGGGAUGCAAGGAGAAGCUGCUACAAGCUGCUGCGUCCAGUUACACUUUUUCCAUCAUCCACUGCGGCCUUGCUGUUCUAUUCCUAUCACUAACAUUUUCAUGAUCCCUCACACAACAUGAUUUCCAGUACAGUAGUCUCAGUGUGUUGAGCUGAAAUGUUGAAUGAUGAAUGCAGACAGUAUUGCAACAUGCAUCUUUUUGAACAUGCAGGAAAAGUGUACAAGGACAAUGUCAGAAGUGCAUAUACCAUGUGACGCUAGAAUUAUUGCAUCCGAGUUAUGGGAGAGAAAUUGAUGUCUGGACUCUGGAGUGCCGGAGUGAUCUUGUAUAUUCUUUUAUGUGGUUCACUGCCUUUCUGGGUAGAACAUAUGUGGCUCAAAGAAGGUGAUGUAUUAGACAGACCUAUCGAUGGCGGAGUCCUAUUAAGAUUUAAGAAUGAAGCAAUUCAAGGCGAUGAGCAAGCUAACACAACUAGCUCUUAAGAUAAUUGCAAAGAAACUAUCACCUGAGGAAAUCAAGGGCCCAAAACAUAUGUCAAUUACAUGGACACGGUUGAAGAACCGUCACAGUUGAGGAACUGAAGGCUGGUUUAAGAAAGUUAAGUUAAAAGAUUAAUGAAGCAGAGGUUUAGAAGCUUAUGGUAGUAGUUGUGUAGGCAAGAGUGGCAGCAUAGAUUACACUGAAUUCCUGACUGCCACGAUGAAUAUACAUAAGCUGGAAAAGGAGGAUGAUUUGCGGCAACAGUGCAAACCAUGGCGCUAAAUGUGUGCUGACAGCGCACCAGGGAGCUGCUGGCUGGCAGAGAUUUCUCACGGAAGCAACACAUAUGACAUAUCUUUGAUUCCUAUGGCAAUUCUCUCGCACUUGUUCUAUGAAACGUGUGGUAGUUCUCUUCUCUGCAUGUGGCGUGGUGGAGUUGUGGAGAAGGGAAGUGGAGGCGAGGUGACGGUUCUCUGAAUUUAGCUAUGACCCUUCCUCUCUCUGUUGUUUACAUCUUGAUCUGACAUGUUACUAUAUAUGCAUCCAUGCUGUCAAAAUCUAUGGUGUGCACCGCCACCGCAUAAACAAAUGAGUGGUCCACUAUGGUGAGUAUAGAUGCUUAAUCUGAGGGCCCACCUUAUUUUCGAUUGGGCGGGGUAGGUGGAGAGGGUGCUUAAUCUGAGGGCCCACCUCGACCUCACAUGGAGAUCGCUUCUAUAUACUUGAGUUCUGUCAUGGCCACAUAUAAUCACAUAAUAUCAUCUCUCAGAAUGUCCCCUGUUCGUCAUGGAUUGCACAUCUUGGUCAUAUGCACCAUUUGUCUUGCGCAUCAAAGUCUAGGAGGUCGACUCGAUGACCAAAAGGUAAACAUUCAUGCAUCAAAUUAAUUUUCCACCAAGUUGUCGAAGAUUGUCAUUUACUAUUUUCCGCUGAAUAUCCAAAAAUAUGUAAAAAUAAUAAUUUUAUUUUUGCAAUUUUCAGUGCAUCCUGGAUUUAAUUUUUUAUAACAUAGUACAAUCGAAGUCGCUCACAUACACGAGCAUAACACUAACUCUCAUAUCUCAAUUAUUUGCCAUGUACGGUUAAAACCAUACGCGCUCUCUUAUUCGCUUGAAGGGAAUUUUUAGUGUUCCAUCCAUGCUCUUGAGCUCCUCGGAUGCUUGUUAUCCAUUGUCCUGUAAUUUCGUCAGUACCAAAUUAUUUGCAGUUUUCUGUGCAUUCUGAAAAUAGAAAAAGCGAAUAUUAUGGGGUGGUAGCCACAAUGGACGUCUGGGGACACCAUAUUGAUUGUAAUCAAAUCACAGCAGCGGCAAUUUGGAUCACAAACGGUGAUUCCGAUCAACGCAAUGGAAUCAUGUUUGGAUGGGUGGUACUGAAUGAAAUCUCUUUUUAUCCGCAAAAAAAGGAAGAGAAUGAAAUCUCUUUUGUUGGUCUCCGGACUUGCCUAAUUUUGUAUGUACUUUACAUAUUUUGCCUAUUUGGUUUUCUAAUUAUGAACUUCUGUGCAUUUGUAGGUUUCGCCAUCUCACUUCAACGACUCAAACACUUAUCUUUUCACCGCUUGGACAAUAUGUUCGUCUAACUUCUAUUUCAAGAGCGAUAUGUUCCUUCUACUUCAUCUUGUGCAAUAGCUUACAUGAGCUUAAUUGCCCAUCUUGCAUCAGAUGUAGUAUUUUGACUUGCAAACACUCUAGCCUCUAAUUAAACAACGAUAAUCAAACUGCAGAGAUAUACUCUUCAAAAUACAGGAUAACUAUUAUAUGAAUGGGCCUGUUAUAGGGAUUACAAAUGCUACAAUCUGUCUGCAGUUUUACAAGUAGAUAUGUGGAACGGUACAUGUAUUUGUGUUUCCUACCAUGUUUGGUGCCAUUCACUGAUCCCUUUGGCUUACUGAGAAAUUACUGGAACACUUCCAUCUAUGUGAAUUAGUUCAACUAGAGAAAUUAGGCUCUUUCAGAUCUAGGUACUUAAUAUCAUGCAUCAAGUGGUCGAAUCAAGCAUGUUGUCAACAGUAGAGUGGUGCCGGUUCUUUGGUUGAUAAGAUUGUUACUGUCCUAAAUAAAUACUGAAGUUCAGUACUAGCUCCAAUGUGAGUAGUUGAAUUACUGAUAAUGGAGGUAAUUCAGUGGUUAGCUAAAAAUGAUAAGGAUUUGAUGCAUUCACUCCCCCAUCUCAUGACGAGGGAGAAGAGUAGGGAACACAUAUGUAUCUCAUGGCUCCCGAUUUCAUACAAAUUGAUGCAUUCUCUUUUGUAACCUGAAUGCUAGAGAAAAUUCACAACAAGGUUUUCUAUUAGAUAAAAAAAUCACAACAAGGUUGAAGUAUCAUGCAAAAUGGUGGCUGAUUUUUUCAUCUCACAGUUCAUACUUUUGAUAAUAUUUUGCAAGAGUGUGGUGGUUGUACGUGUAAUCCUUGAGUUUCCUUAUUUAUAUUUUGCAAAUUAAUUAACAUUAUGCCAUUUCACCAUGUUCGUCAAAAAGCGAAUUUUGGAUUUACACUAUCUGUUCAAUAGUUCAAUGUCAGUCAGGAGAUAAAAUGAUGCAUUCCCCUUUUAUGUAGCAAUCAGCAGCGUGCUCGUAGCAACACACAUGCAUUGUGACAUGUUGCUCGUAGCAACACAUAUGCAUUGCACUCAUCUGCUUUUUCAGUUGUAAAUAAAUUACUUGUCCUGUUCCCUCCUGUCUAUAUAUGAACAAGGUUUUAUAAAUUAUGUAUUUGAAUAUUUACAGAUCAACAUAACGGAUCAUUCCUUUUCGGUUGUAAAUAAAUUACAUGGCCAACUGCCUCCGGUCUAUAUGUGAAAAGGUUUCAUAACUUCUUUAUUUGAAUAUUAUGAUAAAAGAUAAUGUCUACUGACAUUUCUUUCAAAAUAGAAGUACUUUUGUUGGUUUGUUACAUGGCGGAUGGGAUCAUUCACCAACACGCUCAACCCGAAGAUGCGUCCCGCGCUGAAGAGAAUGAGUGUUCCUACAUUUUAGACAGUGUCCAUAUCGCAGAGAUUGUAGCAACAUGCAAAUCUUGGGCGAGGUGUCCCUUUCAUGGUCAUAUUGUAUUUAGCAUGCUACUAGGGUUCCGGAACAAGCAUCAAAAUGUUUUUGUUGUACCCAGUAACUAGAUUAUCAUUAGUAACAGUAGAAUCUUACAUAAUAUUUGUAUUGCCAAAUGUAUUCCUUGUUUGUUGUGGUGCUUAAUAAAAGAGAUAAAUGCCACAUUGGUAA